rnacentral:tRNA from 1 species
GGGGGUAUAGCUCAGUGGUAGAGCACUAGCAUGCACAAGGUCCUAGGUUCAAUCCCCAGUACCUCCA